rnacentral:rRNA from 1 species
GACGAACGCUGGCGGCGUGCCUAAUACAUGCAAGUCGAGCGCAGGAAGCCGUCUGAACCCUUCGGGGGGACGACGGUGGAAUGAGCGGCGGACGGGUGAGUAACACGUAAAGAACCUGCCCAUAGGUCUGGGAUAACCACGAGAAAUCGGGGCUAAUACCGGAUGUGUCAUCGGACCGCAUGGUCCGCUGAUGAAAGGCGCUCCGGCGUCGCCCAUGGAUGGCUUUGCGGUGCAUUAGCUGGUUGGUGGGGUAACGGCCCACCAAGGCGACGAUGGAUAGCCGAGCUGGGAGGGUGAUCGGCCACAGUGGGACUGAGACACGGGCCAGACUCCUACGGGAGGCAGCAGUAGGGAAUCUUCCACAAUGGACGAAAGUCUGAUGGAGCAACGCCGCGUGAACGAUGAAGGCUUUCGGGUCGUAAAGUUCUGUUGUAAGGGAAGAACAAGUGCCGCAGGCAAUGGCGGCACCUUGACGGUACCUUGCGAGAAAGCCACGGCUAACUACGUGCCAGCAGCCGCCGCGGUAA